GCCUCGAUAGCUCAGCUGGUAGAGCGUUACCUUGGUAAGGUAAAGGUCAGGGGUUCAAACCCCCUUCGGGGCUCCA
rnacentral:tRNA from 1 species